CGGGUAAGUUCCGACCCGCACGAAAGGCGUAAUGAUUUGAGCGCUGUCUCGACAAUGCAUCCGGUGAAAAUUGAAGUACCAGUGAAGAUGCUGGUUACCUGCGCCAGGACGGAAAGACCCCAUGGAGCUUUACUCCAGUUUGGUACUGGGAUCCGGUACUGCAUGUACAGGAUAGGUGGGAGGCUGAGAAUCGGUAACGCCAGUUGCCGAGGAGCCGCUGUUGGGAUACCACCCUUGCAGUAUUGGGUUUCUAACCAGCCGCCGUGACCCGGCGGUGGGACAAUGCCAGACGGGGAGUUUGACUGGGGCGGUCGCCUCCGAAAGGGUAUCGGAGGCGCCCAAAGGUUCCCUCAGGAUGGACGGAAACCAUCCAAAGAGUGCAAAGGCAGAAGGGAGCUUGACUGCGACACCGACGGGUGGAGCAGGUACGAAAGUAGGGC
rnacentral:rRNA from 1 species